UGGGAAGUAAAAAGUCGUAACAAGGUUUCCGUAGGUGAACCUGCGGAAGGAUCAUUACAGUAUUCUUUUUGCCAGCGCUUAAUUGCGCGGCGAAAAAACCUUACACACAGUGUUUUUUGUUAUUACAAGAACUUUUGCUUUGGUCUGGACUAGAAAUAGUUUGGGCCAGAGGUUUACUGAACUAAACUUCAAUAUUUAUAUUGAAUUGUUAUUUAUUUAAUUGUCAAUUUGUUGAUUAAAUUCAAAAAAUCUUCAAAACUUUCAACAACGGAUCUCUUGGUUCUCGCAUCGAUGAAGAACGCAGCGAAAUGCGAUAAGUAAUAUGAAUUGCAGAUUUUCGUGAAUCAUCGAAUCUUUGAACGCACAUUGCGCCCUCUGGUAUUCCAGAGGGCAUGCCUGUUUGAGCGUCAUUUCUCUCUCAAACCUUCGGGUUUGGUAUUGAGUGAUACUCUUAGUUGAACUAGGCGUUUGCUUGAAAUGUAUUGGCAUGAGUGGUACUGGAUAGUGCUAUAUGACUUUCAAUGUAUUAGGUUUAUCCAACUCGUUGAAUAGUUUAAUGGUAUAUUUCUCGGUAUUCUAGGCUCGGCCUUACAAUAUAACAAACAAGUUUGACCUCAAAUCAAGGUAGGGUUACCCCGAAU
rnacentral:rRNA from 1 species